rnacentral:rRNA from 1 species
CCUGACUGCUAUCGGAUUGAUACUAAGCCAUGCGAGUCAUUGUAGUAAUACAAGGCAGACGGCUCAGUAACGCGUAGUCAACCUACCCUAUGGACGGGAAUAACCUCGGGAAACUGAGUAUAAUGCCCGAUAGAACACAAUGCCUGGAACGGUUUGUGUUCCAAAUGAUUUAUCGCCGUAGGAUGGGACUGCGGCCUAUCAGUUUGUUGGUGAGGUAAUGGCCCACCAAGACUAUUACAGGUACGGGCUCUGAGGGGAGUAGCCCGGAGAUGGGUACUGAGACACGGACCCAGGCCCUAUGGGGCGCAGCAGGCGAGAAAACUUUGCAAUGUGCGAAAGCACGACAAGGUUAAUCCGAGUGGUUUCUGCUAAAGAAACCUUUUGACAGUCCUAAAAACACUGUUGAAUAAGGGGUGGGCAAGUUCUGGUGUCAGCCGCCGCGGUAAAACCAGCACCUCAAGUGGUCAGGAUGAUUAUUGGGCCUAAAGCAUCCGUAGCCGGCUCUGUUAGUUUUCGGUUAAAUCUGUACGCUCAACGUACASGCUGCCGGAAAUACUGCAGAGCUAGGGAGUGGGAGAGGUAGACGGUACUCGGUACGCUCAACGUACASGCUGCCGGAWAUACUGCAKAGCUAGGGAGUGGGAGAGGUAGACGGUACUCGGUASGAAGGGGUAAAAUCCUUUGAUCUAUCGAUGACCACCUGUGGCGAAGGCGGUCUACCAGAACACGUCCGACGGUGAGGGAUGAAAGCUGGGGGAGCGAACCGGAUUAGAUACCCGGGUAGUCCCAGCUGUAAACUAUGCAAACUCAGUGAUGCGUUGGCUUAUGGCCAAUGCAGUGCUGCAGGGAAGCCGUUAAGUUUGCCGCCUGGGAAGUACGUACGCAAGUAUGAAACUCAAGGAAUUGCGGGGAGCACSACAGGGGUGAAKCUGCGAUC